rnacentral:rRNA from 1 species
UACGUAGGGGGGCGAGCGUUGUCCGGAAUUAUUGGGCGUAAAGAGCUCGUAGGCGGCUUGUCACGUCGAUUGUGAAAGCCCGGGGCUUAACUCCGGGUCUGCAGUCGAUACGGGCUAGCUAGAGUGUGGUAGGGGAGAUCGGAAUUCCUGGUGUAGCGGUGAAAUGCGCAGAUAUCAGGAGGAACACCGGUGGCGAAGGCGGAUCUCUGGGCCAUUACUGACGCUGAGGAGCGAAAGCGUGGGGAGCGAACAGG